rnacentral:rRNA from 2 species
AGUUUGAUCCUGGCUCAGGACGAACGCUGGCGGCGUGCCUAAUACAUGCAAGUCGAGCGGAUCUUCAUUAGCUUGCUUUUGAAGAUCAGCGGCGGACGGGGUGAGUAACACGUGGGCAACCUGCCUGUAAGACUGGGAUAACUUCGGGAAACCGGAGCUAAUACCGGAUAAUCCUUUCCCUCUCAUGAGGGAAAGCUGAAAGACGGUUUCGGCUGUCACUUACAGAUGGGCCCGCGGCGCAUUAGCUAGUUGGUGAGGUAACGGCUCACCAAGGCGACGAUGCGUAGCCGACCUGAGAGGGUGAUCGGCCACACUGGGACUGAGACACGGCCCAGACUCCUACGGGAGGCAGCAGUAGGGAAUCUUCCGCAAUGGACGAAAGUCUGACGGAGCAACGCCGCGUGAGCGAUGAAGGCCUUCGGGUCGUAAAGCUCUGUUGUCAGGGAAGAACAAGUACCGGAGUAACUGCCGG